rnacentral:tRNA from 1 species
GGAGAGAUGGCUGAGUGGCUGAAAGCGCGCCCCUGCUAAGGGUGUAUAGAGUAAUUUCUAUCGAGGGUUCGAAUCCCUCUCUCUCCGCCA